AACGAACGCUGGCGGCAGGCCUAACACAUGCAAGUCGAGCGGACCCUUCGGGGUUAGCGGCGGACGGGUGAGUAACGCGUGGGAAUAUGCCCUUCUCUACGGAAUAGUCCUGGGAAACUGGGGGUAAAACCGUAUACGCCCUUUGGGGGAAAGAUUUAUCGGGGAAGGAUUAGCCCGCGUUGGAUUAGGUAGUUGGUGGGGUAAUGGCCUACCAAGCCGACGAUCCAUAGCUGGUUUGAGAGGAUGAUCAGCCACACUGGGACUGAGACACGGCCCAGACUCCUACGGGAGGCAGCAGUGGGGAAUCUUAGACAAUGGGGGCAACCCUGAUCUAGCCAUGCCGCGUGAGUGAUGAAGGCCUUAGGGUUGUAAAGCUCUUUCAGCUGGGAAGAUAAUGACGGUACCAGCAGAAGAAGCCCCGGCUAACUCCGUG
rnacentral:rRNA from 1 species